rnacentral:rRNA from 1 species
GUGGUUUAAUUCGAUGCUACACGAAGAACCUUACCUGGAUUUGACAUGCACGUAGUAGUGAACCGAAAGGGGAACGAGCCUUCGGGCAGCGUGCACAGGUGCUGCAUGGCUGUCGUCAGCUCGUGCCGUGAGGUGUUGGGUUAAGUCCCGCAACGAGCGCAACCCUCGUCGCUAGUUACAUGUGUCUAGCGAGACUGCCAGGUUAACCCUGGAGGAAGGUGGGGAUGACGUCAAGUCCUCAUGGCCCUUAUAUCCAGGGCUACACACGUGCUACAAUGGACGGUACAAAGGGUCGCGAACCUGCAAAGGGGAGCUAACCCCAGAAAACCGCUCUCAGUUCGGAUUGGAGUCUGCAACCCGACUCCAUGAAGUUGGAAUCGCUAGUAAUCGCGGAUCAGAACGCCGCGGUGAAUACGUUCCCGGGCCUU